GAUGAACGCUAGCGGCAGGCCUAAUACAUGCAAGUCGAACGCUCAGUAGCAAUACUGGGAGUGGCGCACGGGUGCGUAACGCGUACACAAUCUACCUCUAAGCGGGGGACACCUCCUGGAAACGGGGAUUAAUACCGCAUAAUAUGCCGAGGUCGCAUGACUUGGUAUUAAAGCAGCAAUGCACUUAGAGAUGAGUGUGCGUCCCAUUAGGUAGUUGGUGAGGUAACGGCUCACCAAGCCUAUGAUGGGUAGCUGGUCUGAGAGGAUGGUCGGCCACACGGGCACUGAGACACGGGCCCGACUCCUACGGGAGGCAGCAGUAAGGAAUAUUGGUCGAAUGGUGGAAACAACUGAACCAGCCAUGCCGCGUGGAGGAAU
rnacentral:rRNA from 1 species